GCCGAAGUGGCGGAAUUGGUAGACGCGCUAGCUUGAGGGGCUAGUAAGGUUAUCCUUGUGCCGGUUCGAGUCCGGCCUUCGGUA
rnacentral:tRNA from 1 species